rnacentral:rRNA from 1 species
AUUGAACGCUGGCGGCAGGCUUAACACAUGCAAGUCGAACGAGUGGCGGACGGGUGAGUAAUGUCUGGGAAACUGCCUGAUGGAGGGGGAUAACUACUGGAAACGGUAGCUUAUACCGCAUACCAUCGGAUGUGUCCAGAUGGGAUUAGCUAGUAGGUGGGGUAAAGGCUCACCUGGGCGACGAUCCCUAGCUGGUCUGAGAGGAUGGCCCGCCACACUGGAACUGGGCCCCGGGCCAGACUCCUGCGGUAGGCAGCAGUGGGGAUUGUUGCACAAUGGGCACAAGCCUGAUGCGGCCAAGCCGCGUGUGUGAAGAAGGCCUUCGGGUUGUAAAGUACUUUCAGCGGGGAGGCGUUACCCGCAGAAGAAGCACCGGCUGACUCCGUGCCAGCAGCCGCGGUAAUUC